rnacentral:rRNA from 1 species
GAUGAACGCUGGCGGCGUGCUUAACACAUGCAAGUCGAACGAACCUUCGGGUUAGUGGCGGACGGGUGAGUAACGCGUGAGAAUCUGCCCUCAGGAGGGGGACAACAGCUGGAAACGGCUGCUAAUACCCCAUAUGCCGCGAGGUGAAAUGAAUUUCGCCUGAGGAUGAGCUCGCGUCUGAUUAGCUAGUUGGUGUAGGUAAUGGCUCACCAAGGCAUCGAUCAGUAGCUGGUCUGAGAGGAUGAUCAGCCACACUGGGACUGAGACACGGCCCAGACUCCUACGGGAGGCAGCAGUGGGGAAUUUUCCGCAAUGGGCGAAAGCCUGACGGAGCAACGCCGCGUGAGGGAUGAAGGCCUCUGGGCUGUAAACCUCUUUUAUCAAGGAAGAAGAUCUGACGGUACUUGAAGAGUAAGCCACGGCUAAUUCCGUG